ensembl:lncRNA
CGAUGGGACGUUAAUCUGUUUCCCAGCUCAGGUGAAAGGAGGACGGCUGAUAACCUUGUGUGGAAGCCAGAAUAUAAUACAACAUAACAGAAUUUGGUUUGUCUGCCUUUAUCUUUUUUUCACCCUCUCACCGCCUGAUAUCGAUGCUCAGCAGUUUCCCUUGCUCCUGAUAAGUGAUGCCUAUCUUGGUAUUUGCCCAACACUUAACUCGGUUAAAUUGAAAUAUUAUUAGAAGCAACACUCCCCUCAAUACCUGAAACACAGCCAAACAUCAUCUUGGAAAACCUUGCUCAUCUUUCACCACUGCUUCAGAGAACAACUCCGCCGGGAGACAGAGACCGAACAAAGGAUGGAAGAGCGGGAGGAUAAACGACAGAACAGGAAGUGCAGUUUUGAAAAAGGGGAAGAAGUGACACAGAAAAGAUGGAAGAGAAGAGCGAGAGACAGAGAAAGAAAAGUGUUUCUAAUCCUCCAGCCGGCUGAAUUUUCCCUGCAAAGUCGUCUAUUCACAUGAGACCAGCUUUAUGGUGUUAUGUAAAGACCUCAUGGAGUUAAGAGCCAUUUCUUCUAACCUCUGCCCUCUACCGAAGAUAUCAAGCUUGCAACUAUUUGAACACACCCCAGAGGCCACUCAGUAAGGAGAUUAUGUGUAUACACUGAUACAGAGAGCAUCAGACAGGCUUGAACUGGAACGACAGCUAAAAUGUGCAACUUAUUCUACAAUAAGCAGAAUAAAUCUGGUAACUGUGGGUAAUGUAACAUCAGCACUAGUUAAAGAACCUAUUAAACUUCAUGUAAAUUUAAACUUUCAUACAUAGAGCAUAAUUGGAGCAUAUUAAAUGAUAUUUUCUUUUCUUUUUUUUACUUCUGUGAUUUUCUUUUUAAGCACAUUUCACUUUAAGGGUUUAGAUUGAGGCCAUAUAAGGGUAUACAUUUUUCAAAAAAGUGUGUAUAUGAAAUAUGAUGGAAAAAACACAAACUUGAACAAACAUUUAUUUAUGCGCAUUUUCACUGACUGACACUGGCACUUUUUGAAGUGAUGCUAAACUGUACGAAAAUAAAUAAAUAAAUAAAAUCCCCUUC